GCGUUGUUCGGAAUUACUGGGCGUAAAGGGCUCGUAGGCGGCCAACUAAGUCAGACGUGAAAUCCCUCGGCUUAACCGGGGAACUGCGUCUGAUACUGGAUGGCUUGAGGUUGGGAGAGGGAUGCGGAAUUCCAGGUGUAGCGGUGAAAUGCGUAGAUAUCUGGAGGAACACCGGUGGCGAAGGCGGCAUCCUGGACCGGUAUUGACACUGAGGCGCGAAAGCCAGGGGAGCAAACGGG
rnacentral:rRNA from 1 species